rnacentral:rRNA from 1 species
UUCGGCGACCAUACCACGUUGAAAGCACCGGUUCUCGUCCGAUUACCGAAGUUAAGUAACGUUGGGUCCGGUUAGUACUUGCAUAGGUGAUCGGCUUUUGCGUCGGUGGCAUAACGGUUAGGGCGCUCGCC